CACUCCUACGGGAGGCAGCAGUGGGGAAUUUUGGACAAUGGGCGAAAGCCUGAUCCAGCCAUGCCGCGUGCAGGAUGAAGGCCUUCGGGUUGUAAACUGCUUUUGUACGGAACGAAACGGCCUUUUCUAAUAAAGAGGGCUAAUGACGGUACCGUAAGAAUAAGCACCGGCUAACUACGUGCCAGCAGCCGCGGUAAUACGUAGGGUGCAAGCGUUAAUCGGAAUUACUGGGCGUAAAGCGUGCGCAGGCGGUUAUGUAAGACAGUUGUGAAAUCCCCGGGCUCAACCUGGGAACUGCAUCUGUGACUGCAUAGCUAGAGUACGGUAGAGGGGGAUGGAAUUCUGCGUGUAGCAGUGAAAUGCGUAGAUAUGCGGAGGAACACCGAUGGCGAAGGCAAUCCCCUGGACCUGUACUGACGCUCAUGCACGAAAGCGUGGGGAGCAAACAGGAUUAGAUACCCUGGUAGUCCCAUGA
rnacentral:rRNA from 1 species